rnacentral:lncRNA from 1 species
CUAGGAGACAUGGUGAACGGGAAUGACCUGCCCAGAGAGCAUCUGUGAAGGUCACCGGGUCCUGAAACUUUGUUCCUGACUGGGAAACUGGAGCCACUGCUCCUCCACUCUGCAUCUUCACAGCUGCAGAUGAGUUCCACAUGGGAGACAGGGUCUCACACUGUAGCUCAGGCUGGCUGGGAACUCACAGCAAUCUCCCUGCCUCAACCUUCCAAGCGCUAGGAUCAUAGACAGGAUUUCUCACUGAACAUCAAUUUGGCCAGCAAGCCCUCCUGUCUCAUUGCUGGGAUUAGAAGUGCUUGCUGCUUGCUGUACCCAGCUUUACACAUGGGGCCUAGGGAUGAACUCAGAUUCCUUGAGACCAGCUGCCUCAAGCUCUCACUGCCUUGACUUUGUCAUCACGAGGGAGAGCUGUCAAUGAAGCAUGCUUUUGUGAGGCUGGGGAGCCCAGGCCCUAUUCAAACUAUGCCAGCAGCAUCAGACUCUUGGGACCUUGGCAUGAUGGCUGAGACUACCCCAAAGAAACAUGAAGGAAACAGAAGUGAUGGGCCAACCCUCAUGACGACGGGAGCAUGAGAGCAGUCCUGCAACUGCAGAGGCAGUCAAAGACGGUACACCUGGGCUUUUAACCUUUAUACAUGCAUGUAUGCAUUGAGAUACAGGGCCUCACAUAGACCAGGUUAGUUUCCUACUAAUGCUAUAUAGCCAAGAGUAACUUUGAUCCUCAGGACCCC